rnacentral:lncRNA from 1 species
UGUCCAAUCAAUUGAAUUUACCACAGGUGGACUCCAAUCAAGUUGUAAAAAACAUCUUAAAGAUGAUCAAUGGAAACAGGAUGCACUUGAGCUCAAUUUCGCGUCUCAUAGCAAAGGGUCUGAAUACAAAUAUAAAUAAGGUAUUUCUAAAAACCCGUUUUCACUUCAUCAUCAUGGGAUAUUGUGCUUAGAUUGAUGAGGAAAACAAAUAUUUAAUCCAUUUUAGAAUAAGGCUGUAAUAUAACAAAAUGUGAAAAAAGUAAAGGGGUCUGAAUACUUUCCAAAUGCACUGUACAAGCUGUAAAAUGUUGAAAUUGAUGCUUUCAUAGCAAGUAAUACAGAUAUAUUAUUUUAGAAUAUUUUCAAUGUUAAUAUGUGUACAUCAUUGUAGUAAAUGUAUGAUAACGAAGUCAUGCAAUAUAUUAUUACUAUUUUACUAUUUUAGAGCAUUGUAACAAUUCAGGGCUACCAACAUUUGAAGAAAGUUUGGAGUGAGAUUUGCUAUGUAAAUGUCAUUGCCCCCUGGCCAAUCCAUAGACGAGGGACUGGGGGUUUACUGUUUUAAAGUGAAUAUCCUGAAAUUCUAUGUAUUUUGACAUGGCUUAGGCUUAUUACCAGGGUGGAAAAUUAGGUUUAUUCAGGAUGCUUUGAACAUUAAAUGAACACUCCAAAUUUGACUACUUUGUUACUUUUUUGGGGUAAUGUGAAGAAUGCUAACAUGUUUUCUUUGCUAUUUUUUUAGGUAGUUUGACACUUUGACACAGUAAUUAAAUGAGGUAGAGAGACAGGCAAAUACUAAAAACAGUGGGACGGUUAGAAGCUGGGAUUGAUCCAUGUUAUCAGGUGGAAAGUUUUAUGAGACACAUGGAGAGGAGUGUUAACACUACAUCAAGGCUCUGCACAGGAAAUGUUACUAUUAAUGGUUGAUGGUAGUGGGUAACCAAAUCAUAGAUUGGAAUCUGCUUGUCCAAAGACAAGAAUCGCCCACCACAACCGGACCAAGCAGCGUGUCAACAGGCAGGAGCCGCAGGAGAGGCAACAGAGGCAGCAGCAGCAGCAGGAGCAGCAGCAGGAGCAGCAGCAACUACAGUGGGAGAGGCUGCACUACUUGGAGAAAUGGACUUGGGAGGAGAUUCUAGACGGGAAAGGACCCUGGGAACAGCCUGGAGAUUAUUGUCGCCCCAAAGCCGAGCUGGAGGCAGCAAAAGCAGAGAGGUGGCAUUAUGAGGAGCUAGCACGGCAGAGAGGAUGGAAGCCCAAGAGUCAGCCCCAAAAAUUUCUUGGGGGGGGCUCACAGGGAGUAUGGCUAUGCCAGGUAGGAGAUCGGCGCAAACUCCCUGUGCUUACCAGGGGGCUAGAGAGACCGGGCAGGCACCGUGUUAUGCAGUGGUGCGCACGGUGUCCCCAGUGCAGGUGCAUAGCCCGUAUCGGCCGGGCUAGAGUGGGCAUCGAGCCAGGUAAGGUUGGGCAGGCUCGGUGCUCAAGAGCUCCAGUGCGCCUGCACGGUCCGGUCUAUCCAGUACCACCUCCACACCCCAGGCCUCCGGUAGCAGCUCCCCGCACCAGGCUUCCUCUGCGUGUCCUCGGUCCAGUACCACCAGUACCAGCACCACGCAUCAGGCCUACAGUGCGCCUCGCCUCUCCUACGCUGUCGGAGUCUCCCGCCUCUCCAGCGCUGUCGGAGCCUUUCUCCUCUCCUGCGCUGCCGGAGUCUCCCGCCUGUUCAGCGCAGCUAGAGCCUUCUUCCUCUACAGCGCUGCUGGAGUCUCCUGCCUGUUCAGAGCU